UGAAUCCGUCUAGGCAAAUGCCGAGGAGGUCGGGUUUUCCUUCAUUCCCUUAGAAAUAAAAGAAGCUUCUUGCAUUUCAUGCUACCUCUUAUAGUUUUGAGCACAGCAGCCCAUGAUUAUGGUUGUUGUUUGUUCAAAUUGUGGUAGUGUCCCGAGAACUCAGCAAGGACCUAGAUGCUGUUCAAAACCACGAUGGGGAAACUGAAACCCAGGAGAUGAAAUUUACUUCCCUGUGUCAGUGGUGGUUGGGCGUGGAACUCUGAAGUUCUUGACUGCCAGACCUGGUGCUCGGACUGCUAGCCUAUGCCAUCUCGCUGAUGUCUUGUGUUGUAGGAAGGCAGCAAGGAUGUAUUUCAAAGUUCUGACAAUGCUUCCUUAUGAAACCAAGUUCCUGAAGAAAGUUUAAUAAUAUAAAGCUGACCCGCAAAGGAAUAAAAAGUUUCUUUUUUUUUUUUGUAUUUUGUUUACGUAUUGCUUCCUUGUGAUGAUAAAAUGUAAGGUUUUUGUUUGGUUUUUUAACUGUCAGCAAUAUCAAGUCUUGUCUGUCUUGUUUUUGAUGGAAGGUUCCUGCAGGACUAGAAAAUUGUUGAGGGAACUUUCUCAGCACUCAGUUGAAGUGCCAGUUUGAAUCUUUCACACACAGCUUUUGUCCCAAGAGUGCAUCAGAUGUUGGAGUUAAAUAGAUGCGUAGAAAAACAAUGUUUGGAAUAAGUCUGGCUGAAAAAUAAACCAACAAAUCUUCCUCUUCUUAA